GCCGGGCAUGGUGGUGGAUGCCUAUAAUCCCAGAUACUUGGGAGGCUGAGGCAGGAGAAUUGCUUGAACCCAGGAGGCGGAGGUUGCAGUGAGCCGAGAUCGUGCCAUUGCACUCCAGCCUGGGUAACAGAGCGAGACUCUGUCUCAA
rnacentral:SRP_RNA from 1 species